UACGUAGGGUGCGAGCGUUGUCCGGAAUUACUGGGCGUAAAGAGCUCGUAGGUGGUUUGUCGCGUUGUUCGUGAAAACUCACAGCUUAACUGUGGGCGUGCGGGCGAUACGGGCAGACUGGAGUACUGCAGGGGAGACUGGAAUUCCUGGUGUAGCGGUGGAAUGCGCAGAUAUCAGGAGGAACACCAACGGCGAAGGCAGCACUCUGGGCCGGUACUGACGCUGAGGAGCGAAAGCGUGGGGAGCAAACAGG
rnacentral:rRNA from 1 species